GCGGAUGUGGAGGCCACCUGCCACAAGCCUCGAGACACAACAGUUUGGCUGGGCUCUCUCCCCUGAGCCAUGGUCGGCAACCCAAGUUUGUUCUUCAGAUCAUCAAAAUAUUGGUUGGGAGUGACUGUCUCUUAUCCGGUUCAUAAUAUUCUAGCUGUCACAGUCGUCUUAAUGACCCCCAAAUUUCUUCAAUUAUAUCUCUUCUUUGUGUGGAGAUCAUGUGAUAUUAUAAAAUGAUUCAUGAAAUAUCUUGCUUCACUGAUGGAGUAACAUAUCAGAAGGAAUGUUAAUAUCUUAUUUGAUUUGUUUAUACAGAUCUUCGGACAAAGUGGGGAGAGAGAGUAGCAGAUUGGGGAAGCUUUGGACCAUUGGUUUCAGCAAGGCACGGGUAAUGAUUGUUGCGUUCUAUAAACGGUGACUGCUGGUUGAUGUCAAAUUAACUCAUGCAAUGGUCUAAUCUACCAGAUCCAUGAGUUUUCGUGGUCUCUUGUCUGUUUAUUCUAUUUCUUGGGUGGUUUUGGAUAUUUUGCACUCAAUGGGAUAAAUUGUGUAUGUUGAUCGUCGUGCCCAUCCAUCUGCCUCGCUGCGAAGCUGUCUACUUGCUCGCCUGGUCGUAGCCAUCGAGUUAGGUGAGAUUAGGCACAAAAAAAAAAACAAUCGCCUCUGAAAUCAAGACUGUGAUCUUGAUCCAAGGUGAGAUUAGAAAAAAAAACAGUUUCAUUGAGCCUGACAAAAUAUAGAUACAGUUAGAGGUGAUAUAGGAGGUAACAUUAAUUCUAGAGACACCAGUCAGUGGCCAUUUUUCAUUUUCCUUUAUGUUAAGAUGAAUUGAAGGAAAGUACUUUCAUUGAUACAGCAUUAGUACCAUAUUUCUUUUUUAUCAUCAAGCAUCAAAGAGUUUUAUAUGUUUUUAGGGAUAGAAACCAUUAAUUCUAGAGACACCAGUCAGUGGCCAUUUUUUAUUUUCCUUUAUGUUAAGAUGAAUUGAAGGAAAGUACUUUCAUUGAUACAGCAUUAGUACCAUAUUUCUUUUUUAUCAUCAAGCAUCAAAGAGUUUUAUAUGUUUUUAGGGAUAGAAACACAUAAGGAUAUGUUGUCAUCUGUUAAACUGUACUAGCAUGU